rnacentral:lncRNA from 10 species
UAAUGGCAUGAAUGCAGGAGUGAGCUAGUCAUCACGGGAGUGGGCUCCUGAUAAAAGGAUGAGUUUAAGCUGAUUUCCUCUCUGCCUCACAUGCUCAUGUGCCCUCCUACUACUGAAUGACCUUUGCCAGAUGCCAGCGCUGUGCUCUUGGACUUUUCAGCCUCCAGAACAAGACAGGAUUUUGCCAUGUUGCCCAGGCUUGAACUCCUGGGCUCAAGUGAUCUGCCCACCUCAGCCUCCCAAGGUGCUGGGAUUACAGGGUAAGCCACAGCACAGGAUUUUGCAGAUACAAGUAUUUCAAAGUGAUCAUUAUAUGAAAUGCCAUAUAUGUUCCUGAAUUAACAAAACAACUUGGUAGAAAGAAUCAAAAAUUGCAGCUCCAGCUGCAUCUGAUGUCACUGCUAUGGCAGUGAAGAAUGAAAACCAAAGGACAACUGGCUACUUAAGGAAUUAAGCGGACUAAAAUGAAAACCAUUCACAGAAGCAGUUCCAGUACUCUGGCUGAGACUCUGUUUUCCUACAUACAGCCCACACAUUCUGAAUAUACUCAAAUCUACGCAAUUUCAAACUUAGAAAACUUUAACUGCUGCCCCACUGAAGCCAUUUUCAAGCUGGAAUCAUGUAUAAUAAACUACUCCA